AUGGUGUGUUGGUGCACCUGGUGUGCGUGCCUUUUUCUUCUUAUACUGUUCACUGACAAGGAGUACUGUAGUUGCGAAUCUCAUCAUUUUACACCAUCGGAUGGACUCUAUCAAUGGUUCGCAUUGCUUCCUGGUCUUCAGAUCCAAAGGUUCAAAACCGAUCACACGAGUCGAUCGAGCAUGGAGUGUACGCCCGAUCACACCCGGUCGAUCGAGCAGGUCGGUCCUCCUCGUCCCCUUCCACCCCCACUCGUUCCUUGGAGCCCUAACUCCAUGGCCGGCGGCGAGUCUUCCUCUUCUUCCACGGUGAGCGAGGGGAGGGCGAGCACGCGGCCACGGAAGAAGCAGAAGCAGCAGCAGCAGCAGGAGGAGGAGGAAGAGAAGGGGCCGAACCCUCUAGAUCCUAGGUUCAGUGACUACGACCCUCUAGAAGGGCGAUUACGUUUUCACCCGCUUCCAGCACUCCACGCUCGACCUCAACAUGGAGUGAUCUUCCCUGAGGAGGGGUUCGGGUUCUGUAACUCGGCGAAUAUUGUCUCGGUCAGUAUCGUUUCCUCCGACUAUGGAUACCCGCUCAAUGUCUACGGCACCAUCAUAGCCAGAGACUGUCUGGAUCACCAACGCCUCUAUUUAUUCCAGUGUGGCAAGGACGAUUGCCAGAACAUCAGCUCCAAGUGA
rnacentral:rRNA from 1 species